rnacentral:lncRNA from 1 species
CCUGGGUCAAACUUGGUCAGAAUUCUGUUUUCUCCAAGAUGGUCUUUUGGGGAGGCAAAGGGAGAAAAGAGUACGUGUAGAAACAGGAUAAGAUGACUUUUCUUUACUGCCCUGGAGUGAACCUGGGGGAGGCAGGGUUCACAGCAACCAGAGCAUCUGGCAGGAUCCAAGAGGACAUCCUAUGGGUUCUGCCCACUGGGACUCUGCUUCAGACACCCAGAUGGGCCCCUGGGGAAAUUUCUAUAACAGAGCCUGUCAAAGAGCUCCUCCAGGCAGUUCACCAUGAUUAACUGCAAGCCAGGUACAGGCACCUGACCACCUUAUUCUCCCGUUAAGUGGUAUUCCAGAUCCCCCUUGUAAAUCACAGAUAACAUUUACAAAGACUCAAGAC